AUGCACCAUAUAUAUUCUCUGUUGCCACUGCGAGAUGCUGCUCGUGCCGCCUGCGUCUCCCAUGGAUUUCUGCUUUUCUGGAGAUGCUAUUCCAACCUUACAUUCAACGUGUCAACACUUGGUUUGGCUCACAAGAAAUCCGAGGAUUGGGGAAUCUUUCUCAUCGAUAUAGGUGACCGCAUUCUUAAGAACCAUUCUGGCAAUGGGGUGGAGACACUCGAUCUCUGCCUCCUAUCUUGCGAAAACAUUGACCCUUCCUACCUGGACAGAUGGCUGCAGAUUGCUGUUCGUUCGGGGAUCAAAGAACUUAAAUUGGAGAUGUCUUACUUCAUGAAGAAAAAGUACAGCUUCCCAUGUUCGGUUUUUUCUGAUGAUGCAGCUGCAGGUUCAAUUCGGUCUCUUUGCCUCAGCGCUUGCGUUUUUCGUCCCACAACAACACUUGGCUGCUUGAGAAGACUGAACGCAUUAUCUCUGUUUUCUGUCCAGAUUACUGAUGAGGGAUUAGGGCACUUGCUCUCGAAAUCUUUCGCCUUGCAGCAGUUAUUUAUCUUUCGAUGCAAUGCGAUAAUAUGCUUGAAGAUACCUUCCAUGCUGCAGCAACUCAAGCUCCUCACUAUUAAAUUGUGUGAGAAGCUGCAGGUGGUAGAGAUCAAUGCUCCAAGGCUCUCCUCUUUUCACUUUCAUGGAGCCCUAGUAAAAAUCUCGGUUGUGGAUCCUUCACCGCUUAGGGAUGUGUAUUUUUCAUCUCCCCGUCCGUCACGCAUGCUGUCUUAUGCUCGUACUAGGCUUCCAUCCAUCACACGGAAUGUUAAGAGCCUGACCCUGGUGUCUUUUGAUGAGGUAUGCGUUGGGUUUUUACAGGAUGUCAACAUUCCAAUGCUGCACUCCAAGUUUCCCCGUCUCAAGAAGUUGGAAAUUAACAUCAAAAGACCACAAGCUGUUCUGUCUUUGGUUUCCUUUCUUGAUGCUUCUCCGGGCUUGGAUUCAUUCAUCCUACGCGUAGAUGGGAAUUUCUUGGGGCCUGAUUCUAUUGUUGGAGGUGAGAAUGCCGCUGAUGAUCCAAGGUGGAAGCCACAGUGCCGACAUGAUUGUCUCAGACAGGUGAGGAUCAUAGGCUUUUGUUUAGAAAAAAAAUCUGGUUCAGUUUGUGAUCUAUAUCGUUGA
rnacentral:rRNA from 1 species